ensembl:lncRNA
GUUGGGAGCACAACCAGCAGGGCAUUUCCCUCCAUGCUGCAGAAGGGAGCAGGAUGUGUGCUUGUACCUCUGCAGGAUGCCUUUGCCUUUUCAGGAUGACAAGAUGCCUUGCUCUGGUUUUCUACAGGAAUUCUUUUCCAGUGUGGAUCCUAGCCCUUGCUGUUCAUCCUCUAAAUGAGAUUAUUAUAAUGCCUCUGUGAAGUGGCAGUGUCUCAGUUCCUGGGAGGGUCCUCCCUGAGCAGCAGGUCCAUGUUUGAUGUCUCCAGUCACUGCGAACAUUCAGAAACAGGAGGAAAUUUUCUCCCUUGUGGUGCUUCUUCAGUAUAGAAGCUGGGAAGUAAAUUUGAGAUUUGGAAGAAGCAAAGGUUUUAGGGUGACAGAAACAUUCCAGAAGACAACUGUGAGCAUUUUCCACAUUUCUUGGGCCGCAAUCUUUAAGGAAGAGUCUUCCCUGGAGGUGUGGAUUUUACAGAUCAUCUUGAGUGAGAUCACACAGCGUGUGGGACAGAUGAGGAUCAGGCACAGCCAGCAUGGAUUCAUGAAAGACAGGUCCUGCUUGACCAACCUGAUCUCCUUCUGUGAUUGAGUGACCCACCUGGUGGAGGGAAAGGCUAUUGAUGUAGUCUGUCUAGAUUUCAACAAAGUCUUUGACACUGUCCCCCACAGUAUUUUCCUGGAGAAGCUGGCAGCCUGUGGAGGAGCAGGGAGGUGAUCACCCCCUUGUAGUCAGCUCUGGUGAGGCCGCACCUGGAGUACUGUGUUCAGUUUUGGGCCCCUCACUACAACAAGGACAUUGCGAUGAGGUGAGGGUUGGCCUCUUCUCCCAUGUAGCUAGCAACAGAACAAGAGGGAAUGGCCUCAAGUUACGCUAGGGGAGAUUCAGGUUGAAUAUUAGGAGAAAUUUCUUCUCUGAAAGAGCAGUCAGGUGCUGGAAUGGGCUGCUGGGUCACUGUCCCUGGAGGUGUUCAAGAAAGGUGUAGAUGUACUAAGAGAUGUGGUUUAGUGGGGGAAUAUUGGUGGUAGGUGGAUGGUUGGACUAGAUGACCUUAGACAUCUUUUCUAACCUUCACAAUUCUAUGAUUCGAAGGGAAACGCUGGCUGACCAUUUCAAAAGUUUAACCAGAUCUCCAUUUCCCACUUACAUUUCUCUGUUCUGCUGUCCUAUAAUCUCCCUUGAGUUCACAGCUCAAGUACUCAUCAUUAUUUAAGUUGUUACAUUCUUUUUUGCCAAUGUUGUUCCUCACUGUUGAACUUUUUGUUAAUUCUGAGUCAAUUUUCCCAGCUUCCUUCUAUCAAUACCAGCAUAUUAACAUAUGCAAUUUGGGGACCAUUUUUACACCCUGGAACAUGACAAG